rnacentral:lncRNA from 1 species
AAGCCUCCAACUUGGUGCUGACGGAAGUGGCCUCGUGGCUGUCUCCUGGCGCCUGCCCCGUCAGACAGGGGCCCCAUCCCACUCGCUACCCUGUCCGAUGGGGAAACUGAGGCACGGAGCUGGACAGUGACUCAGACACCAGGUGAACACUGGCUUUUGAGGGCAGGGUUGGGACUCGUGGGGGCAGCAAUGCCAGCUGGGUCAUCACAGUGAGGAGUGAGCUCUGACUCCCAGGAGGGUACAUAAGGAGCUGCCUGGAGUGGAGCUGAGAGCUCAGGUCUGGGCUCAGCCAGUCCAGAGUGCAAAUCUACUGUCCCUUCCUAGCUGUGUGAUCUUGGCAAGUGACUUCCCCUCUGGGGGAGGGGAGGGCUCAGUUUUCCCAUCUGUGAAGUGGAUCAGAGCUUUCCUGUCAAGACAGGCACUGGACGGGGCCUGCAGGGGUCUCCACAGAGACCAUCAGGAUGUCGUAUUUUGGGGAGCAUUUUUGGGGCGAGAAAAAUCAUGGCUUUGAGGUCCUGUACCACAGCGUGAAGCAGGGGCCCAUCUCCACCAAGGAGCUGGCGGACU